rnacentral:rRNA from 1 species
CCAGCUCCAAUAGCGUAUAUUAAAGUUGUUGCAGUUAAAAAGCUCGUAGUUGAAUUUCUGGCUAGUCUUAUGCUGUGGCUCUGCCCGGUAUAAGGUUUAGUCAUCCGUAAGGGAAGCCAGUUCGGCCUUCACUGGUCGGCUGGGGGAACUUACAAUUUACUGUGAGAAAAUUAGAGUGUUUAAGGCAGGCAAUCGCUUGGAUACUCCAGCACGGAAUAAUGGAAUAGGACUUUAGUCGAUUUGUUGGUUUGAGGCUAAAGUAAUGAUUAAUAGGGACAGUUGGGGGCAUUCGUAUUUAAUUGUCAGAGGUGAAAUUCUUGGAUUUAUUAAAGACGAACUUAUGCGAAAGCAUUUGCCAAGGAUGUUUUCA